rnacentral:rRNA from 1 species
CACGUAAGGUGCGAGCGUUGUUCGGAAUCAUUGGGCGUAAAGGGCAUGUAGGCGGCGGCGAAGGCCCGGAGUGAAAGGCGCAGGCCCAACCUGCGGACAGCUCCGGGAACCGCGCGGCUAGAGUCACCGAGGCGGGGCCGGAAUUCCAUGUGUAGGGGUGAAAUCUGUAGAUAUGUGGAAGAACACCGGUGGCGAAGGCGGGCUUCGAGCGGAUGACUGACGCUGAGGUGCGAAGGUGCGGGGAGCGAAC